rnacentral:rRNA from 1 species
CAUGGCGCGAUGAUCAAAGGUGGGGACCUUCGGGCCUGCCGCUUGGGGAGGUGCCCGCGUGCCAUCAGCUUGUUGGUGAGGUAAUGGCUCACCAAGGCUUACGGCUAGCUGGUCUGAGAGGAUGAUCAGCCACACUGGGACUGAGACACUGCCCAGACUCCUACGGGAGGCUGCAGUCGAGGAUCAUUCGCAAUGCGCGAAAGCGUGACGAUGCGACGCUGCGUGGAGGAUGAAGGCCUUCGGGUUGUAAACUCCUGUCAUGAGGGACAAGUCGGCCGGGGAUUAAUACCUCCCGGCCUCGAUGGUACUUCAAGAGGAAGCCACGGCUAACUCUGUGCCAGCAGCCGCGGUAAUACAGAGGUGGCAAGCGUUGUUCGCAUUUACUGGGCGUAAAGCGUACGUAGGCGGUUUGGUAUGUCGGAUGUGAAAGCCCGGGGCUCAACCCCGGAAGUGCAUCCGAAACUGCCAGACUUGAGUGCAGGAUGGGAGAGCGGAAUUCAUGGUGUAGCGGUGAAAUGCGUUGAUAUCAUGAAGAACACCGGUGGCGAAGGCGGCUCUCUGGAAUGCAACUGACGCUGAGGUACGAAAGCGUGGGUAGCAAACAGGAUUAGAUACCCUGGUAGUCCACGCCGUAAACGGUGCGCACUUGGUGUGGGGAGUUUUGACCCUCUCCGUGCCGUAGCUAACGCGUUAAGUGCGCCGCCUGGGGAGUACGGCCGCAAGGCUAAAACUCAAAGAAAUUGACGGGGGCCCGCACAAGCGGAGGAGCAUGUGGCUUAAUUCGAUGCAACGCGAAGAACCUUACCUGGGUUUGACAUGUAGCUGCUUCCCCCUUGAAAGAGGGGGGUCCUUUGAGGGUGCUACACAGGUGCUGCAUGGCUGUCGUCAGUUCGUGCCGUGAGGUGUUUGGUUAAGUCCAGCAACGAACGCAACCCCUGUGUCCAGUUGCCAGCGGAUAACGCCGGGGACUCUGGACAGACUGCCCGUACAAGCGGGAGGAAGGUGGGGACGACGUCAAGUCAGUAUGGCCCUUACGCCCAGGGCUGCACACGUGCUACAAUGGUCGGUACAAUGGGACGCAAAGCCGCGAGGUGGAGCAAAUCCCCAAAACCGGCCUCAGUUCGGAUUGCAGUCUGCAACUCGACUGCAUGAAGUUGGAUUCGCUAGUAACGGCGCAUCAGCUACGGCGCCGUGAAUACGUUCCCUGGCCUUGUACACACCGCCCGUCACAUCAUGAAAGCCGUCUGCACCCGAAGUCACUGAGCCAACCCGCAAGGGGGGCAGGUGCCGAAGGUGUGGGUGGUGAUU